AAGUUGUUUUCUAAUGCUCACGCGCUAUGGCCGAAGUCUGCAAUGGAUGGGAGAAAGGGGAGGACCAAAUUAGCUCAGAUUCUUUACAGUUCACAGCAUCAGCUGUUUUAUUUAUUUGUUUUAGAUAGCGAAGCCAAAAAAAGUUGGAUGGGGGCAAAAAUGCCAACUAAAAUAGCUCAUAGUUCUGAAGUAGAGAGAAGUCAGAAUUUCCCGUUUUCUCUUGUUUCUCUCAGGGAUGGUCUAUAUGACUGGCGCUCCUUGGAAGCAGUGCUGAGGGCAUUAUCAAGAGUUUCCAGGGCCUCCUCUUUCUCCUGAAACCUUCUUCAAGGAGGGUAAAGUUUUAAGAGAGUUCAAAAGUACCACAGACUUCCAGGGAAUAGUAGUUUUUGUCGUGACAAGCAUGGACAUUUUCUUGCGUCAUGUACUAUUUCAGAAGGUAGAGACCACAAAAAGGCUUCUUACUGUGGCCACCGUGGACAUCUUCCCACAUCUACAAGGUGUUGUGGCCACAUCAUUGCUGCACCCAGUUUCCUCAGAAGAAAUACCUGUUGCUUAGGUUUAGAAACGAGGCAUGUAUACGUAUUUAACAGUUCUCAGAAUGUCAAGGAUCCCUCCUCAGAGCAAGAGCUCGAAUUUACAAAAGAAGCACUACCUCCUUUAUCACAUAGUAAAAUAAAGGACCGUGUCUGCUCCAGGACAUGGCUGGUUACAAUUUUGUUUUAAAGAAAUCACCAGAGAAACCUGAGAUUCCAACCCAGCCUUUUGUUUGCCUGGGAUUAUAGCCCAGUUCUUACAAGCAGAGAAGCCUAGGACACUAACCCAGCUUCAAGAGUAUACUCAGAAUCUCAAGAAUCACAAUCUGUGCUGCCCAUUCUUCAACAGACUGUCAUCUGGAGGCCUGGAUUGGAUCAGGAGUCGGGCUCACCAAUGGAGCCCCAAUCAGUCAGUCAGGAGUGAAGAUGAAAGCUUCAAAGCCAGCACAAGAGCACACAGGAGGCCGGCAUAAUCACGAAUUGCAGCUGUCUGAAGGGCAGUCACAUAAAAGAGGAGAAGCUUCACCUUUGCUUCACAAGGCACAUCUUGAACCAGGGAUGGAAAUUACAGAGAGGCCAAAACCAGCUCGGUGUGAGCAGGACUGGUAACAGACUGGCCAAGCAACAGAAGGGGCUGCCCUGUGAAGAAGCAAGCUCUCUGUCAAUGGGAGGUGCAAGCUGAGCCUGCACUACCUUUUGUCACGGUUGCUAUGGAAAAGAUUAAGAGCCCGGGCCUGGCUGUUCCCACCUCAAACCACUUCUUAGCUUCAUUUGUUCUCAUAACAACAGGAUAGCCCUUCCUCCUCUGGGGGCCUGGGCAUCAGCAAGUCGGAUGGCAGUGGAAGGUGGAGAAAUGGAAUCCUGCUGGGGGCUCAGGAGGCCUGCCCCCUGAUGCUGCCGUGCACUGCAGAUGUCCUUGAUGAAGAGAAUGAAUGGAAGGUAUUGGAAGGGAGCUGAAGUUCAACAAAUGACCACCUAAUGAAAAAGUCAGCAGUGGAUUGCUUGAGAUCUUGAGCACCCUGUACUGUUAUUAGUAUUUAUAAACAUGUUUGAAAGAUGUUCCCUUCCUUCACUGUAGUGCCAGAAAGCCUUUAACAUAUUGGGUCCGGUCUAGAUUUGUAAGGAAGUAUGGCUGAAUUGUUAUCGGGUGGAUACAGUUUACAUGUUUAAAGCUGUCUUUCUCAAUGGCAAAAGGGCAUACUGCUGUUAUUGUCAGUGAGGGGUCAGUAGUUUAAAUGAUGAAACUCUGGGGAUCAGCGUAAAGUAAACCAACAUACUGCAUGUAAGUAUCAAGUAAAUGAGCAGAGACAGCCCCUGGUUUACAAACACCUGACUUAAGCAUCGUCCAUCCUACAGGUAAAUUCCUCAUUCUUACUGCUGUGAGAACAAUUGUUAGGAGCCAAAAACUUCAGAGCUUUCAAAGAACUGUAAUGAGAUAGCACAAUGCAGGCAAAAAGCCAGUGUUAACGGAGCAAGAAACUUCCCAGUUCUGACAUUCACAGCAUGACCUAGAGCAUGCGGAUUCCCCUCUCUGAGUCACUGGUUUCUCACCUGCAAAAGAAAGCGGGGACAGGGAAGGAGGAAGAAGCUUCGAGAGGCUGGAACAGUUGAGGGAGCGCUGACACGGUAAAGGCCACUUUGCUCAUCAUCACCAGGCGUGCUGCCGAAAAUUUCCACUCUGUUUACUCCCAAGACCUUACUCCUACUAUGUGGAGACACAUUUGAAUAAAAAAUUGGCCUCUUUUCAAAGUC
ensembl:lncRNA LINC02052 long intergenic non-protein coding RNA 2052